GCAGGUAUGCAGGCCCCAGCUGCCAUAGGGGAACCCUUACCCCAUCUCACCUGUGCCUGGCAAAUAACUCACCUCUCAGGCUCAGCCCAGCUGCCUUCCUCAGCUUGAGGUAUUUGUUUCCUGUCCUGGGAUCUCUGUGUACUGGACUCUUGCCUGCCGUUUAGCACUUUUCUCUGUCAGCUCCAGUCUUACUUCUUCCUGGAAGUAUUGCAUAAUUACUCCAGCCAGAGAUUCUGUUUUCCUCUGAGCUACAGAAGCACUGACACUUGGUACCACUCACUCAUCAUGGACAGACUGCCAGCAGUCUGGGACAUCCUCUGAAAGUAUAAAGGUUGACCUGAACAGAGAAGAGAGAAGAAGGGAGAAGGAGGGACAGAGAGCAAAGGACGGAGAGAAUGAGAAGCAAGUGAGUAAGAAUGGAGAUGGAGAAGAGGAAACUGAAUAAGUUCCUGUGCAUAGGAGGUACAGGGAUCCAGAAAUGUGCCCCUCUGUGCCUUUGAGGAUUUAGAAAAGACAGAGAACAAAAGACUUGCUUUCUGGAACCCAUAUAAGCCUUGAUAUUUUAUGUUCUGCAACACUGUUGGGCUUUCUGGUCUCCUGCAUUCUUGGCUACCAUAAACUGAGUGCUCGCCAUGUUCCAGGUCAAGUCCAGGAUGGGUGUUCCUGAUUGAUAGGAAGCUCUCCUCCAGCUGGAGCCUGCAUGGAGGAGGUGACAUCUAAGUUGGAAUGUGAAGGGUGAGGAGUUUUUCAUGCAGAGGAGAGGAGCACAAACCUUUCAGUACUGAAGGAUUCAGGACCAUGGCCAGCACCGAAGCAGCCUACAAAUUCUGAAAUAAGCUUAGAGUCUUAGCCAAAGAGAUCAGCACUGCCUUUAACCUUCUUCCCUGCCUUUCCCAUUUGGCCAAGUCUUACUGAUCCUUCAACUCAGAUGCCACCACUUCUGGAAAACCUUCCUGGAGACCCACACAGAGGGAGCUUGGCGUGAGGGAAGAGGGCUGAGUCUGCUGCCUCUGGAUGGAGUGAGAGCUUCUCAAGUGGCUGUGUCUUGCUUUAGAGAUCUGGUGUGCGUGUAGGGAGUAGAGCAGGAGAAGGGCAGUCACACGGCACGUCAGAAAUCAUUAGGAAUGAUGAAGGUACAAAUGGAAGCUGGCUCAAAUUCCAUAAUCGUGACCAGGACCAACAUGUACUAGACAUUCACUAUGUGCUCCCCCAAGUGCUAAAUCAUUGAAUCCUUUCAACAGUCUGAUAAGGUAGAACAAAGGCAGUGAAGGGUGUAGGGAUAUUAUACAGCUGUGCUCCAUGAGCAUGUGUUAAGGCUGUGGAAUGGAUCCUGGCAGGAUGACCUCAAAUUAAGAUUUUAAUGACUCUUCCAUUUAGAAGACACACUCUUUCCAUUAAUGCUGCCUUGUCAGACUGCUCCAGCUCUGCAGUCUCAACGCUGAGGUGCUGUGCAGUCGACUCAGACUUGGGAGUCAAGCCCCAGCUGGAGACUUGCCAGCUGUUUCAAGUUACUUAAUCUCAUUGAGCCUCAGUCUUACCAUCAGUGAAAUGAGGACAGUGCUAUCCACCUCUCCCAGAUUGCUGGAGGACAAAGUGAGAGAAUGUAGAGGACAGCACACAGCCUGACAGGAGAUGCUCUGCAAGCAGUGACUUCCUUUCUUCUGAACAAGUCACAAAUAUGCUUAUAAAUGAAUAACCGACGCUAAAUGUAUCACAAUGCCAAACAUAAUGCCAAAUGUACCAGCUUGUUAUCAAUCAGUGCAGUGUUCGUCACUUUAAAGUACCAGUGAUUCACCUGGGGAUCUGGUUAAAUAUAGAUUUGCAUUCAGCCCGAGAUUCUGCAUUUUAACAAGCUCCCAGAUGAUGUGGAUACUGCCGGCAGGAGCCCACACUUUUACUCGUAUGGAACUAGGGCAAUGACUUUUGAAUACCGAAUUGACUUUGAGAGACUGGGCUAAGUUGCAAAACACAAUUUUACUCUACCUUUUUUUUUUUUUUGCGCUUGUUUAAUGAUAAAAUUACUGGGGAAAUUUGAAGAUGCUACAAAAAAAGUUUGAACACAUUUAAAAAUCUGGGAAGCUCAAAUCCAUUCUACACACUUUCAUUUAUUGUCUGGACAGAUAAAGUACAAAUAAUUCAAACACAACAAGAUUAUGAAAAAAAAAACAUUUACAAUACUUUCCCUCAGAAAUCAUCUAAACUAGCAAGAUUAACAUGAAGUCAUUCAUUAUAACUAAAGUAUACAACUGCCUGGUCCUAAGAUUUUUUUUCCUUUUUUUUUCCCCCAAGAGUGAACACAUUAUAGAGAAGAGAUUUUGGCACGCCUUUCCCACUAAUGCUUAGCAAAUGCAUCAAAACUUUGCCAGCAAACUGCGUUCAUUCAUAGCAGGUGAUGUAAAAAGUUUUCCCUGAAUGUUGAACGAGUGUUCUCUGAACUGAAAUCUGGUGUUUUUUUUUUUUUUUCAAAACCGAAAAGAGGAAAAAAAAACAGAAAAAAAAUUUAAAGGAGGA